GGUUCAUGGGGCUGUACCGCAGGUGCUUCCGACUCCCAGCUCAAGAACUAUGGGCACACAGUGGUUUUACAGCACUUUAAUAUAUUAAAACAAGAGGCAUCUGCUAGAAAACCUAUUGUAGAAAACUGGAGCUUUUAGAAACCUGUUUUCUUUGGCACUUUCCAUUCCCUCCCCCCUCCCCAGCGUAUUGCAGAAAGCUCUCCAGUGCUAAGGCAUUGGCAGGCUAUGUAAACAGCAGCCAGCGUACGUGGGAGAAUAAUACGAAGCUUUUGUUUCCUUCUAACGGUCUGUGCAGCAAGCAUAAAUAACAGGACCUCGUCCAGCAAGGGUGCGCCUUGUCCCUCGUCCCGCACUGCCUCCGGUUCCAACCUGACUGCUGGGUUGGGUGUACACGGAGACGGGAAGGGCGCUCACCUACCCCUCUUCCCAAGGCCCCUGGUUCCCUGUGCUGCCAUGUGGUCCCAGGGGGGGAAGCUGGGGUAAGACACAGGUGCUGGUGUUGCAACAUGGUGAAGGGACCCCCGUAGCUGCCU